UGUAGGUAACAUUUCCUAUCAAAGACUGGGUUUCUUGGGAAGAAAUCUCUGAGUCAGAAAUUAGCAUGGACAAUGCUGCUCCUGGGACCAACAUGUGAGAAGGAAAGCAGGAUUGGUUAAGCAAGAUGUUAAGCUUCGAUGCAGUCUCAAUGAAAUCCUCAUCUAUCUAACCCCCAUGGGCUCUUAACUGGCCAUGUCACCAGGACCUCCUAAAACUGUUACCUGCUUGACCUGCAAGCCAUGGCUCCAUAUCCUCUCCAGCAGGUCACAAAGGCUGGCGAUCAAGGUGUUCUCCUCCAGGCCGGUGAUGUUUGCUUCUCCAUGGCCAAGUUCCACCGCUUCAUGUCCCAUCUUCUCCACCAACAUGCGCUUUGUCUAAGAAUAUCACGUGUAGUCAUAAGGCACCCCAGCAGUGAAACCAAAAACCAACAAGUCAAUUACUAAAGUAGGAGACUUGGUUUCCCUUCAUUAUACUUCUAUUUGCAGAUUUGUAAUCACCUUGGGAAAAAAAUCUCUUAAUCUUGAUGUUCAACUAACUGGACUAAUAUAAUUUAUAUGUCACUAUUUUGUCAGAAAAAUGGAGUGUGACUAAAGAGAAUAUAAGAUAAUAUUUGUAAGGCAUCCCCAUGUUGAAAAGAUGCUUAUAUACAACAGUUGUCAAAUUAUUAACUUCUGUGAUAUUGGGGAAUUACAGCAGACUUAGAAAAUGUACUGUCAGGGCUGGGCAUGGUGGCUCACACCUGUAAUCCCAGCACUUUGGGAGGCCCAGGCAAGUGGAUCACCUGGGGUCAGGAGUUCGAGACCAGCCUGGCCAACAUGGUGAAACCCUGUCUCCACUAAAAAUACAAGUUAGCCGGGCAGUAGUGGCACACGCCUGUAAUCCCAGUUAUUUGGGAGGCUGAGGCAGAAGAAUUGCUUGAACCCAGGAGGUAGAGGUUGCAGUGAGCUGAGAUCACAUGCCACUGCACUCCAGCCCGCUGCGUGAUAGAGCGAGACUCUGUCUCAAAAAACAAGAAACAAUAAAAAAAGAAAAUGUACUGUCAGAAUAUGGAACCCCAUCCUGCCACCACAACUUGCCCUAUCACUGCCCCAGCAUCUUAGCAUACUAAAGAUUCUUGCACUUAGUUUGAUUGCACUUAGGUAAAAACCAGAAUACAAAUGGGCAGCUCUAAAUUUUUUGAGAACUCUAAUUUGUGAAUGAACCAGGACUUUACUUCUCCUUUUUUAUCUUUUCUUUGUUCAUCAAGCAUGCACCAAAAAAUGGAAAGAAAAUGGAAAUCAGUUUCAUGUAAGUUAAUUUGCAUCAGUCUUAGUAGCUUUUAUAAAAUGUAAAAUGAGAGAGAAUCUAGCUCUUUUAGGCAAGAACUUUAAUUCACCACUAUAUACUGAUGCUGAAAAUAGUAGUACAUUUAUUGAAUAUGCAGAGAAGGUACUCAAGAAAUGACUGUCAAAUAAAUAAAUAAAAUCAUUAGCUAAAAUGAUGUUUUAAGUUUUGUCAAUUUGUAC
rnacentral:lncRNA from 1 species